rnacentral:rRNA from 1 species
UACGUAGGCAGCGAGCGUUGUUCGGAGUUACUGGGCGUAAAGGGUGUGUAGGCGGUUGUUUAAGUUUGGUGUGAAAUCUCCCGGCUCAACUGGGAGGGUGCGCCGAAUACUGAAUGACUAGAGUGCGGGAGAGGAAAGUGGAAUUCCUGGUGUAGCGGUGAAAUGCGUAGAUAUCAGGAGGAACACCGGUGGUGUAGACGGCUUUCUGGACCGUAACUGACGCUGAAACCCGAAAGCGUGGGUAGCAAACAGG